AUUGAACGCUGGCGGCAUGCCUUACACAUGCAAGUCGAACGGUAACAGGUCUUCGGAUGCUGACGAGUGGCGAACGGGUGAGUAAUACAUCGGAACGUGCCCGAUCGUGGGGGAUAACGGAGCGAAAGCUUUGCUAAUACCGCAUACGAUCUACGGAUGAAAGCAGGGGACCGCAAGGCCUUGCGCGGACGGAGCGGCCGAUGGCAGAUUAGGUAGUUGGUGGGAUAAAAGCUUACCAAGCCGACGAUCUGUAGCUGGUCUGAGAGGGCGACCAGCCACGCUGGGACUGGGACACGGCCCAGACUCCUACGGGAGGCAGCAGUGGGGAAUUUUGGACAAUGGGCGAAAGCCUGAUCCAGCCAUGCCGCGUGCAGGAUGAAGGCCUUCGGGUUGUAAACUGCUUUUGUACGGAACGAAAAGGCUCUUUCUAAUAAAGAGGGUUCAUGACGGUACCGUAAGAAUAAGCACCGGCUAACUACGUGCCAGCCGCCGCAGUAA
rnacentral:rRNA from 1 species